rnacentral:misc_RNA from 1 species
CAGAGUUCAUGCCCUCUGGGUAGAUCUCCCACCCACUGUCAUCACUACGAUUGUUGCUUUGGCGGGCCGCGGGGCCCUGCCCGGCCGCCAGCUCCGGCUGGCGUGUGCCCGCCAGAGGCUCCACAGACUCUGAAUGUUAGUGUCGUCUGAGUACUAUACAAUAGUUA